rnacentral:rRNA from 1 species
UACGGAGGGUGCGAGCGUUGUCCGGAAUCACUGGGCGUAAAGGGCGCGUAGGCGGCGCGGAUAGUCGGCGGUGAAAGCCCGGAGCUCAACUCCGGGUCGGCCGUCGAUACUUCCGGGCUUGAGCACUGUAGAGGCAGAUGGAAUUCCGGGUGUAGCGGUGGAAUGCGUAGAGAUCCGGAAGAACACCGGUGGCGAAGGCGGCUCACUGGCUCGUAACUGACGCUCAUGCACGACAGCGUGGGGAUCAAACAGG